CAACACAACCCUUGGCCGCUCUGUUGACAUGCUCUGCACCUUGCUCCUGCCCUCGCCUUUCACUCUUCUUAUCCCCCCGAUACCCCCAUCAUUCCUGACAGCUCCUGAGUGCCUGGAUUUCAUCAUCCAGCCCUGCAGGAUGCUUCCCUUUCUUCUGGGGAAGGCUGUCCCAGACAGAGAGGAGGAGAUAGAGGUAGAUACCAAGAUUGAUACGGAGGAGAUGGAAAUAGACGGAGAAGACCCUGGAGAGGAAGAGAUGGAGGUGGAUAUGGAAGAGUCCAUUGAGGACAUGGAUAUUGAUUAAAAAGCUGCAAAGGACAUCAUGGACAGAGAUGCCACCUUUUUGUACAUAUGUUUUACACUUUGGUGUUGUCAUUAGCAUAUAGGUUUUAGGGCUUUUUGUCUUCUGUAAAUAUGUUUCAUAUAUUUUUUGUUAGAUAGGUUUUUCUGUAUAUAUGUUCUAUCGAUUGUUGUUGUUACAAAUAUUCUUACAGUGUAAAUAUGUUCUCUAUUUUUGCUGCUGUUCUUCUUUAAUAAACAAAUUUUAUUUUUCA